ACCAUUCUGUGGAUUCCUCUCCCCCAUACCCCCUACCCCGGUCUUGGAUGUUUUCUGGAGGAACUGGGGAGCGUGGGCGCGUUAAGUUAUAGGGAAAACCCCAAUUCCUGAGACGUGGAUGAGGGCGCAUUCUAGUCUGUGAUUCCGAAACCAGCCAUGAUUCGCUGUGAGCUUCCCACCCCUGUGCUGGAAGGCGCCAAGUUCUGAACACCUGUGGCCUCCUCGUGGCCUCCAGGUCCUCUGCGGGAAACACCCAGCGUCCUUUGUCUGACCAACUCCUACACGUCAAUCACCGGCAAUUCGGACGCCACCUCUUCCAGGAAAUUUCCCUGAAUCUGCAGAAAGUUACUCCUUCCCUGAGGAUGGAUGUCAGUUGCUGGAUUCGUGAACCUUCCCUUUGCCUUCAGUCCCACCAGUCUAUGGUCCAAACAUAAGAUCCUUUAAACUCCCGUAUGAGCCCUCCAGUGGGAGCUUCCGCAUAAGUCAUCUAUGCUGGGUCAGAGGAAACGUUCAGUCCAAGGGCAAGUUCAAGUCCACAGGUGAGGAGGCCAGGAUGCCUGCCUGCAGAGGACAGAGAGCCCCAGGCUGGUAAGAGGGAAAGACCCCUUGAGUGGGACACUUAAGUGAUUCCAUGGCUGUUCUGUGCUGGCCCCAGUCCCUGCUCUAAGGACGGAGGUUAAGCAACACUGAUGCCCUGCAGGCUGUCUCCCAGGCUCUUCUGUCAUCUAUGUCAAUAGAAGCAGGGCCGCUGAGCUCUACCUGUCCCUCCUGUCUUGCCAUCUGAACUCCGUCACUCCUCGCCUCCCCAUUCCACGGAAUGCAGAAGGAACCCAGCUGAUGCUCACAACAGUACCUCUGACCUGGUACCCACACUCAGUCUCGGAGAACCUGCUCUCUCGUCAGAGUCCUUUCUGCUGGGACUGACACCCAUCUCCAGGCCUUUCCUGGUCUAUCUAAGAGGAUGGGUCUGUUCACAGACUACCAAUAUCUCAGAACCCCCAUCUCAGGGUGGUCAAGGACCCUUCUGAGCCCGGCUGUGUCUCUAGAACACAGGUUUUUUGGUUUUUUUCCUCUCCUUCUGAAGUGCUGGACUAUCUCCUAACCUCCUUUUGUUUGUGUUUUGCCUAAGCUGACCGUGAAACCUCUGGAGCCAAGGAUGUCUUUAAAUCUAGAUGGUCUUGCCUCAGCCUCUCUGGUACUUGAGAUGACAGACUUGCACCACCAGAGACAAUCAUCCCGUCCCGUCCCGUGUCGUGUCGUCCCCCCCCCCCCCUCCCCGUUACACCACCACCCCACCUGCUGUGCCUCAGCCAUCUCCAGGAUCUUACUAUGUAACCCUGACUGGUCUUAGAACCCCUAGGCUGGCCUUGACCUUAUAGAGAUCCGCCUGCCUCUGCCUCCCAAGGGUUGGGAAUUAAAGGCGUGCGCCACCAC
rnacentral:lncRNA from 1 species